UUAAUUAAGUAAUUAAGUUGUCAUUGAGAAUUAGAAGGAAGGGAGAGGAGAGCUGGAUUUUGUAUUUACUGUGGUUGUUUUACACAGCUGGGCAGCUGAGCUCCACCACAACCGCUCCCUCCUCAAAGAGAAAGGGGAAGAAAAUAAGAUGAGAAGGGCUCAAGGGUUGAGAUAAGGACAGGGAGAUCUCUCACCAUUUAUCGUCAUGGGCAAAACAAAUGCAGCAUAGGGAGAUAAAUAUAAUUUAUUACCUAUUGCUAACAAGCUAGAGCAGUGAGAAACUCAAACUAAAAACACCUUCCCCCUUAUCCACCCUCUCCUACCUCAUUUCCCCUUCCCAAGCAGUGCAGGGGAAUGGGGGCUACUGUCAGUCCCUAACGCUUCACCUCCACCGCUCCUUCACAGUCACUCUCUGCCCGUGGAUGCCGGCCUUCCCAAACUGAGCCUGCGGGGGCUGCCCACAGGCAGCAGCUCUUCAAGAACUGCUCCCACAGGGCUCCGUACCACGGGGUCCAUCCCCCAGGAGCAAACUGCUCCAGCACGGGUCCCCCACGGGCGGCAGCUCCCCCCAGACCCCCUGCUCCUGGUGGGCUCCUCUCCACGGGCUGCAGCUCCGGCCCGGGGCCUGCUCCUGCGGGGGCUCUCCAUGGGCCGCAGCCUCCUCCAGGCCACAUCCACCUGCUCCACCGGGGGCUCCUCCACGGGCUGCAGCGUGGAGAUCUGCUCCGUGUGGGACCCGUGGGCUGCAGGGGGACAGCCUGCUCCACCAGGGGCCUCUCCACAGGCCGCAGGGGAACUGCUGCUGCCUGCCUGGAGCACCUCCUGCCCUCCUGCUGCACUGACCUUGGGGGCUGCAGGGCUGGGUCUCAGUCUUCGCUCUCCCAGUUGCUGUUGCACAGCAGGUUUUUCCCUAAAUAGGCUCUCACAAAGGCACAAACAACAUCGCUUAUUCCCUUGGCUCUUGCUAGCAGCAGCAGGUCCCUUUUGGAGCCGGCUGGAGCUGGCUCUGGUCUGACAUGGGGCAGUUUCUGAACUCUUCUCACAGAGGCCACCCCUGCAGCUCCCCAGCUACCAAAACCUUGCCACAUAAACGCAGUACUUC
rnacentral:lncRNA from 1 species